UACGUAGGGUGCGAGCGUUAAUCGGAAUUACUGGGCGUAAAGCGAGUGUAGGUGGUUGUCCAAGUUGGAUGUGAAAGCCUUGAGCUCAACUCAAGAAAUGCAUUCAGGACUGGGCGGCUAGAGGACCGGAGAGGAUAGUGGAAUUCCCAGUGUAGUGGUGAAAUACGUAGAGAUUGGGAAGAACACCAGUGGCGAAGGCGGCUAUCUGGACGGUUUCUGACACUAAGACUCGAAAGCGUGGGGAGCAAACAGG
rnacentral:rRNA from 1 species